rnacentral:tRNA from 1 species
GGUUCCUUAGCUCAAUUGGUUAGAGCAAUCAACUCAUAAUUGAAAGGUUCUCGGAUCAUGCCCGAGAGGAGCCACCA